UACGGAGGGUGCAAGCGUUAUCCGGAUUCACUGGGUUUAAAGGGUGCGUAGGUGGGCAGGUAAGUCAGUGGUGAAAUCUCCGGGCUUAACCCGGAACUGCCGUUGAUACUAUCUGUCUUGAAUAUCGUGGAGGUGGGCGGAAUAUGUCAUGUAGCGGUGAAAUGCUUAGAUAUGACAUAGAACACCAAUUGCGAAGGCAGCCCGCCACACGGUUAUUGAC
rnacentral:rRNA from 1 species